GAGUUAGUAGUUUAAUUGGUAAAAUCUUUCCUUGUCGAGGAAAAUCAUGUCGGAUCGAAGCCGACCUAACUCG